rnacentral:rRNA from 1 species
ACAAUGAAGAGUUUGAUCCUGGCUCAGGAUGAACGCUAGCGGCAGGCUUAACACAUGCAAGUCGAGGGGCAGCG